rnacentral:rRNA from 1 species
AUUCCAGCUCCAAUAACGUAUAUUAAAGUUGUUGUGGUUAAAAAGCUCGUAGUUGGAUCUCGGCGGUCUGAGGGCGGUUCGCUUCAGAGCGCUACUGCCCUAUAGACCGUAGUUUUGCCAGAGGUCUCAGGGUGCUCUUAACCGAGUGUCUUGCGAUGCUGGCAGGUUUACUUUGAAAAAAUUAGAGUGCUCAAAGCAGGCUUUUACGCCUGAAUAUUCGUGCAUGGAAUAAUAGAAUAGGAAGUCGUUUCUAUUUUGUUGGUUUUCGGAAAUCGACUUAAUGAUUAAUAGGGACAGUCGGGGGCAUUUGUAUUCAAACGACAGAGGUGAAAUUCUUGGACCGUUUGAAGACAAACUACUGCGAAAGCAUUUGCCAAGAAUGUUUUCAUUG